rnacentral:rRNA from 1 species
UAGGGAAACUUCCGCAAUGGACGCAAGUCUGACGGAGCAACGCCGCGUGAGUGAAGAAGGAUUUCGGUUCGUAAAACUCUGUUGUUAGAGAAGAACAGCGCAUAGAGUAACUGUUAUGCGUGUGACGGUAUCUAACCAGAAAGCCACGGCUAACUACGUGCCAGCAGCCGCGGUAAUACGUAGGUGGCAAGCGUUGUCCGGAUUUAUUGGGCGUAAAGCGAGCGCAGGCGGUCAAUUAAGUCUGAUGUGAAAGCCCCCGGCUCAACCGGGGAGGGUCAUUGGAAACUGGUUGACUUGAGUGCAGAAGAGGAGAGUGGAAUUCCAUGUGUAGCGGUGAAAUGCGUAGAUAUAUGGAGGAACACCAGUGGCGAAGGCGACUCUCUGGUCUGUAACUGACGCUGAGGCUCGAAAGCGUGGGUAGCAAACAGG